UCCUCCGUAGCUCAGUUGGUAGAGCGAGCGGCUGUUAACCGCUAGGUCGCUGGUUCGAGCCCAGCCGGGGGAG
rnacentral:tRNA from 1 species